UUUUAAGUUUGAUUUUGGUUUUGGUUGUAUUAAGAUAGUAUUACUUAUUUUUAGUUUAUUUAAUGUGAAAUUUUUUAUCUACUGGUAGUUUUUUGAUUGUUUUACUAGUGUUCCAGAAUAAUCGGCUAUACAUUUUAAUUUUUAACUCUAAUUGUUGUAAUGUUUUCUUGUUUUUUGAGUUUUUAUUUUGAUUUUUUGUAAAAUAUUUCAAUUUUUUUUUUUUUAAGAAAAUUUUUAAAAUUUGGUUUAGUUGAACUGGAUUAGUACCCAGGUAAUCAAAAUUAAUUAAUUCGGGAGUAAAGUUUUGUUUAAACCGAAAAAAUAUUGACUGACUCUGGAUUUCUUUUUGGAAUAUGUGUAUGGAGAGCCCUCUUUUAUAGUAAAUCUUUUUUUGCACAUGUAUGAUUGUUUAGUUUUUAUUUUAUUUUGUAAUGCUUUAUUUUUAGAUUAAAAACAGAUAUAUAUUUGGCUUAUGGGUUUAUUAAUCAUGUAUUACUAUUAUAAAUUUUUUUUGGAUGGUAUUCUAUUUUUUAUCUGAAAUUGGAAAAAAAAGUAAUUAUUUUUUUAUGUGUUAGUGAAUUUAAUAAAUAGAGUGGUACAAACCAUCCGUCAAUGGCCUAAAGGGGCGUAAGUUGUAGUAUGGUAGAGGUAAGGAAACUUGUUUCUAUGUUUU
rnacentral:rRNA from 1 species